rnacentral:tRNA from 1 species
CAAGAUUUAUUUAAAGAAUAAUAUAAACUUUGGAAGUUUAAGUUAAGUAAAAAACUUUUUCUUGA